UCCCAGGUGGCUCAGUGGUAGAGAAUCUGCCUGCAACGCAGGAGACAUGGGUUGGAUCCCUGCGUAGGGAA
rnacentral:tRNA from 1 species